UAGGGAAUCUUCCGCAAUGGGCGAAAGCUUGACGGAGCAACGCCGCGUGAGUGAUGAAGGUCUUCGGAUCGUAAAACUCCGUUAUUAGGGAAGAACAAAUGUGUAAGUAACUAUGCACGUCUUGACGGUACCUAAUCAGAAAGCCACGGCUAACUACGUGCCAGCAGCCGCGGUAAUACGUAGGUGGCAAGCGUUAUCCGGAAUUAUUGGGCGUAAAGCGCGCGUAGGCGGUUUUUUAAGUCUGAUGUGAAAGCCCACGGCUCAACCGUGGAGGGUCAUUGGAAACUGGAAAACUUGAGUGCAGAAGAGGAAAGUGGAAUUCCAUGUGUAGCGGUGAAAUGCGCAGAGAUAUGGAGGAACACCAGUGGCGAAGGCGACUUUCUGGUCUGUAACUGACGCUGAUGUGCGAAAGCGUGGGGAUCAAACAGG
rnacentral:rRNA from 1 species